AGUAGGUGUGUCGCUCAUAUUGAGUUACCCAGGUGACGUAACUGGUCGAGGUCAACAUCGUUGGUAAACACCAGACUGAACCCAUGUCUGAAUCAGAGCCCAGAAGCUACUCAGAAGGGAGUACAAGGUGGAAUGAAGGCUUUUCUGGUGACGGAGAGGAGAUAAGGUGA
rnacentral:lncRNA from 1 species